GGGCCGCUAGCUCAGCUCGGUAGAGCGUCCGGCUCUUAACCGGACGGUCGGGGGUUCAAAUCCCUCGCGGCCCA
rnacentral:tRNA from 1 species